AAAAAAAAACACAUAUUCAAGCAGAAAUCAGGGGCGCCUGGGUGGCUCAGUCAGUUAAGCAUUUACCUUCAGCUCUGGUCAUGAUCCCAGGGUCCUGGGAUCAAAGCCCCGCAUCAGACUCCUGGCUCAGCAGGGGGACUGCUCUUCCCUCAGCCUCUCGUCCUGCUCGUACUUUCUCUUUCUCAAAUAAAUCUUUUUUAAAAAUAAAAAUAAAACAAAAAUUAUUGAAUUUUAAAAUAGAGUUGGUAAAUUCAUAGUCAUUUUUUAAAAAAGGAAUAAAGUAGUCAAAGAGAAAAAAGAAAAACAUCCAAAAUUGGAAAUGAACAAGGGGAUACAACAAAUGUAUGUUAUAAGAAAGUACUGUGUGGAACUAGGCUAAUGAAUUUGCUCCUCAGUAAAAUAGGUGAUUUUCUGGUAAAAAGAAAAAAAAAAUAUAUGUGAAUAAAACCAAAAUUAUCAAAAAAAAAAAAAAAAACCAAAAUUAUCUCUUUUUUUAAAAGAUUUUAUUUUUAUUUAUUAAUGAGAGACACAGAGAGAGAGAGGCAGAGACACAGGCAGAGGGAGAAGCAGGCUCCAUGCGGGGAGCCUGACAUGGGACUCAAUCCGGGGACCCCAGGAUCACGCCCUGGGCCGAAAGGCUUACCUAUGAGCUUGUUUUGUUUGUUAAGAUUCUACAUAUAAGUGAGAUCAUAUGGUAUUUGUCUCUCUCUGUCAGACUUAUUCCACUUAGCAUAAUGGCCUCAAGUUCCAUCCAUGUUGUUUUGGCAAGAUUUCAUUAUUUUUAAAAGCUGAAAAAUAUUCUGUCAUGUGCAUGUACACUCGUGUAUGUAUCUCACAACAUAUAUGUGAUUAUAUAUAUAUAUGUAUAUAUAAACAUAUAUAUUACAACUUUAAAAUUCUAUCUUAUGGCUGAAUAAUAUUCUAUUGCAUAUGUAUAUCACAAUAUAUGUGAGAUAUAUAUAUAUAUAUAUAAAACAAUUUUUUUAAUCUGUUCAUCCAUCAGUGGACAUUUAGGUUGUUCCCAUAUGUUGGCUAUUGGAAAUAAUGCUGCAGUGAACAUGGUGGACACAUAUAUCUUUUUGAGCUAGUGUUUUCAUUUUCUUCAGAUAAACACUCAGAAGUGGCUGCACCAAUUUAUAUUCCUACCAACAGGGCACAAAGGUUCCCUUUUCUCCAUAUCCCUGGAAUAAAUCCUACUUGAUCAUGAUGGGUGAUCCUUUUAAUGUAUUGUUGAAUUCACUUUGCUAAUACUUUGUUUAGGAUUUUUGCAUCUUUGUUUAUCAGGAAAUUAGACUUUAAUUUUCUUUUCUUGUGGUGUCCUUGUCUGAUUUUGAUAUCAGAUAAUGCUGGCCUUUGUUAAAUGGGUUUGGAAAUGUUCCCUCCUGUUUUUUGGAAGAAUUUAAUAAGAAUUAGUAUUAAUUCUUUGAAUAUUUGGUAGAACUUACCAGUGAAGCUGUUUUGUCCUGGAAUUUUGCUUGUGGGUGGUGUUUAAAUUACUGAUUCAAUCUCCUUACUAGUAAUUAGUCUCUUGAGAUUUUUGUAUUCAUGAUUCAGUCUUGGAAGAUUGUAUGUUUCUGGGAAUUUAUUUCUUUUAUGUUGUCCAAUUUGUUGAUAUGUAAUUGUAUAGAUUGUAUGGUCUUUUGUGAUCAUUUGUAUUUCUGUGGUAUCAGUUGUAACAUCCCUUUCAUUUCUGAUUUUAUUUAUUGGGGCCUUUUCUCUUUUUUUUCUUAGUGAAUCUAGAUAAAGGUUUAUCAAUUUUGUUUACCUUUUCAAAAACCAGCUCUUGGUUUCAUUGAUUUUUUUUUUUCUAUUUUUACUCUCUAAUUUAUUUCUGCUCUUAUCUUUAUUUUCUUUUUUCUUGUAAUUUUGGACUUCAUUUGUUCUUUUUCUUUCUAGUUCCUUGAGGUGUAAAGUUAGGUUGUUUGAGAUUUUUCUUCUUUCUUAAAAUAGGCAUUUUAUCACUGUGAACUUCCCUUUAAUAACUGCUUUUGCUACAUCCUGUAAGUGUAUCCCAUCCCAGCGUAUGUUGUAUUUCCAUUUGUCUCAAGGUGUAUUUUGCUUUUGAUUUCUUCGUUGACCCAUUGGUUGUUCAGUAGCAUGUUGUUUAAUCUCCACAUAUUUGUGAAUUUUCUAGUCGUCUUGUGAUUGAUCUCGAGUUUCAUACCAUUGUGAUUGGAAAAGAUGCUUAAUAUGAUUUCAGUCUUUUUAAAAAUUUGUGAAGACUUGUUUUAUGGCCUAAUAUAUGUCUAUCCUAGAGAGUAUUCCAUAUAUACUUGAGAAGAAUGUGUAUCUGUUGCUUUGGGAUGGACAGUUCUGUAUAUAUCUGUUAAGUUCAUCUGGUCUAAGUUUUGUUUAAAGCUGAUAUUUCCUUAUUGAUUUUCUGUCUGGAUGAUCUAUUAAUUUAUGUGAGUUAUAUAUUAAAGUCAUCAACUAUUGUAUUGCUAUCAUUCUCCUUGUAGGUCUGUUAAUAUUUGCUUUAUAUAUUUAGAUGCUCCCAUGUUGCAGGCAUAAAUAUUUACAUAUGUUAUAGCUUCUUAUUGGAUUGAUCUCUUUAUCAUUAUGUAAUGUCCUGCUUUAUCUCUUAUUGCAGUCUUUAUUUUAAAGUCGUUUUAUCUGAUAUAAGUAUAGCUGCCCUGGCUUUCCUUUGGUUUCCAUUUGCAUGGAACAUCUCUUUUUAUCCCUUCCUUUUCAAUCUGUGUAUGUCCUUACAUCUGAAGUGAGUCUAUGGUAGGCAGCAUAUAGAGGCAACCGCUCUAGGUUUUUUGAUUGGAGAAUUUUGUCCGUUUACAUUUAAAGUAAUUAUUGUGGCAAAAAAAAAUCCAUAACAUAAAGUUUGCCAUCUCAACCAUUUUUAAGUGUACAGCUGAGUAGUGUUAAGUACUCAUAUUCUUGUGAAACAGAUCUCCAGAACUUUUUUAUCUUUAAAACUAAAACUCUGUACCCAUUGAACCACAUCUCUUUCCCCCACCCCCAGGUGACCACCCCUCUAUUUUCUGUCUUAAUGAGUUUGUCUCUUUGGAUACCUCAUAUAAAUGGAAUCAUACAAUAUUUGUCUUUUUAUGACUGGUUUGUUUUACUUACCAUAAUGUCAUGAAGGAUCAUCCAUGUUGUAGCAUCUGUCAGAAUUUCCUUCCUUUUUGAGGCUGUAUAAUAUUCCAUUAUAUGUAUAUAUCACAUCUUGUUUAUCUACUCAUCCAUUGAUAACACUUGGGUUGCCUCCACUUCUUGGCUUGUGAAUAGUGCUGCUGUGGACUUUGGUGUUUAAAUAUCUCUUGCUAUUUUAACUGUUGUUGAGCAUAGAAAGUUAAGAAAAUCAACAUAACUCAUUUUUAUGAAUACAACCUAAUAAAUCAUAUACAUACACACAUACACACACUUCACCUAAGCUUGGUAAUACAGAUGCCUAAGUCCUAAAUAAAGCACUAACAAAUUUAUCAAUAUAGUAAAGGAACAUUAACUACCAGCAUUUGUUGUCCAUCCUAUGAUACCUUAGAACUUAGAACACAUUAGAACUUGCCCAUGAUGCUAAGCUAGUAAGUGGUAGGCUAGGAUAUCAACCCAGGUCUGCCCAGCUCCAGAGCCCUGAUGCAUUUGGUGAGUUUGUUGAGAACAUAACGAUGGCCCCAUAAAAGAAAUCCCCUAAUAUCAUAUUUCACAGAAGUAGGUCAAAGGAAAAAAACAAACCUAAGAGUCUCUCAUGGAUAAUAAAAUAUUUGAAGAUGAAAAUCAACAUUUAUUCUUUAUUUUUGAAACUUCCCUAAUAAAUUAGGGGAGAAAAAAGAAGUUUCAUUAACAUGAUAAGUCUAAAAGAACAUGAAGCAUUAUUCUUUUUUUUUAAACUUUAAUUCUAGUAGAGUUAACAUACUGUAUUACAUUAUUUUCAGGUGCACAAUAAUGAUUCAACACACCAACAUGCAUCAUUCUUUUUUUAAAAGAUUUUAUUUAUUUAUUCUAGAGAGAACAUGAGAGAGUACCAGUGGUAGGGAGGGGAGGAGCAGAGGGAGAGGGAGAAGCAGACUUCCUACUAAGCAGGGAGCUGGACACAGACUGAUCCCAGGACCCCAGGAUCACGACCUGAGCCAAAGGCGGAUGCUUAACUGAGCCACCUAGGUACCCCCAUCAUGCAUCAUUCUUAACAAAAAAAUAAUGUCAGAUAAGGCAGACCCAUUCUAGCCACUAUUAUGUCAUGGCGUCCUGAAAGGAUAACCUAGCCAAUGUAAUGAAGUAAGAUAAACAGUUUACUAUUGAAGAGAAAACACAGUUCUUGGCGGCAAACUAAGUAUCUACCUAGAAAUCUAGAGAUAAUUAAUCCUGAAAAAUGGUUAGAUCUAAUAAAGAGCAGCAGUCAUCCACUAAAAGACAUAUAUUAAACUUCUGAAAUAGCUUUUCCUAGUUCAUGAAACAACUAGUUAGUGACUCAGUCGGUUGAGCAUCUGCCUUUGGCUCAGAUCAUGAUCUUGGGGACCUGAGAUUAGGCCCCACUGGGCCCCAGGUCAGGCUCCCUGCUGGGUGGGGGAUCUGCUCCCUCUCUUCCUCUGCCCCUCCCCCCCACACUCGUGUGUGUGUGUGUGUGUGUGUGUGUGUGUGUGUGUGUGUGUGUGUGUGUGUGUACACUCUCAAAUC
rnacentral:lncRNA from 1 species